rnacentral:misc_RNA from 1 species
GUGCAAACUGCAGAAUAAUAUUUGACUAAUAAUAAGAACUUGCAAUAUCCAACAAAAAUUAAACUGAUUCUUGCUCAUAUAAAGAUAGAUGUCACUCAACCAAGUGCAAUAUAAUAGGGAGUAAAACUAAUUAAUUAGGCUGAUGAGGUACUACUGAUGUGCUUGGCAAUGGUCUGCUGCAGCUCAUCUUUUUUGGCUCCUACCACCUUAUCAACGAUCUUCCCCUCCUUGAUGAACAUGAAGGUUGGCA